AGAGAUAACUCCAUGAGAAAUUACCCCCACCCCCCAACUCAAAUGAAAGCCCUAUGGAAAACGGCUGAACUUUCCAAGCAGAACAUCUCGGAGUCCCUCACAGUCCAGUGUUCCUCUCCUAACUACCAAGGAUACUUUUAUUUUGUAUCCUCCGCUGCGCCGGUCUGGAGAAGGAACCAAAAGGAGGCUGAGAGAGUCUCUGCUUCAGAGCAACCCUGUUGAGCCAUCCCAGCAAGAGAAUACCCAGAGACGGGAGGAACAAGAGCACAGGUUUACGACGGAAGGGGAAAGGACCAAGGAGAGGAGGUGUGAGGGACAAGAGGAAGGUGGCUUCUGUUGAGCUCUGUCCUCUAUCGGAGCCCCCUGCUCCGCACUAGCAGAGGGCCAUGGACUGGACUGAGAGGCCCUCAGAGCUGCUGGAUAAUGUGUUUGAUGACCAGGGCUACCAGCAUGAGAGUAUUUCUAAAAAUACCACUCCAUCCCGGAUGUAAGAGAUGUGUGUUAUGCAAGACUCUGGCAAUUCAAGUGUCAAGAUGGAAUGAGAGACUGCGUAGACAGUUUCUGGGUCUCCAGGCCCACAAAGUAAACAAUUAUCUGAGGCAUUUUCCUGGAAAGACAUGAAAGAGGACAGAUAGUGGCCAAAAUUAACUUCAAAAUUAAAG